rnacentral:rRNA from 1 species
UGCCAGCAGCGGCGGUAAUACGUAGGGCGCGAGCGUUGUCCGGAAUUAUUGGGCGUAAAGAGCUCGUAGGCGGCUUGUCGCGUCGGUUGUGAAAGCCCGGGGCUUAACCCCGGGUCUGCAGUCGAUACGGGCAGGCUAGAGUUCGGUAGGGGAGAUCGGAAUUCCUGGUGUAGCGGUGAAAUGCGCAGAUAUCAGGAGGAACACCGGUGGCGAAGGCGGAUCUCUGGGCCGAUACUGACGCUGAGGAGCGAAAGCGUGGGGAGCGAACAGGAUUAGAUACCCUGGUAGUCCACGCCGUAAACGGUGGGCACUAGGUGUGGGCGACAUUCCACGUCGUCCGUGCCGCAGCUAACGCAUUAAGUGCCCCGCCUGGGGAGUACGGCCGCAAGGCUAAAACUCAAAGGAAUUGACGGGGGCCCGCACAAGCGGCGGAGCAUGUGGCUUAAUUCGACGCAACGCGAAGAACCUUACCAAGGCUUGACAUACACCGGAAACGUCCAGAGAUGGGCGCCCCCUUGUGGUCGGUGUACAGGUGGUGCAUGGCUGUCGUCAGCUC